GUUGUAAAGCUCUUUUACCCGGGAAGAUAAUGACUGUACCGGGAGAAUAAGCCCCGGCUAACUCCGUGCCAGCAGCCGCGGUAAUACGGAGGGGGCUAGCGUUGUUCGGAAUUACUGGGCGUAAAGCGCACGUAGGCGGCUUUGUAAGUCAGAGGUGAAAGCCUGGAGCUCAACUCCAGAACUGCCUUUGAGACUGCAUCGCUUGAAUCCAGGAGAGGUCAGUGGAAUUCCGAGUGUAGAGGUGAAAUUCGUAGAUAUUCGGAAGAACACCAGUGGCGAAGGCGGCUGACUGGACUGGUAUGACGCUGAGUGCGAA
rnacentral:rRNA from 1 species